rnacentral:tRNA from 1 species
GGCAAGGUAGCUCAGUGGUAGAGCGCUUGCCUUGCAUGCAUAAGGCCCUGGGUUCGAUUCCUCAGCACCA